UACGAAGGGGGCGAGCGUUGUUCGGAAUUACUGGGCGUAAAGGGCGCGUAGGCGGUCCUUCAAGUCAGGCGUGAAAGCCCCGGGCUCAACCUGGGAACCGCGCUUGAGACUGGCGGACUCGAGUUCGGGAGAGGAUGGUGGAAUUCCCAGUGUAGAGGUGAAAUUCGUAGAUAUUGGGAAGAACACCGAUGGCGAAGGCAGCCAUCUGGACCGACACUGACGCUGAGGCGCGAAGGCGUGGGGAGCAAACAGG
rnacentral:rRNA from 1 species